UCAAGAAACUUCCACAAUGGGCGAAAGCCUGACCGAGCGAUGCCGCGUGCGGGAUGAAGGCCUUCGGGUUGUAAACCGCUGUCGUAGGGGAGAAAGGGUCGUUGAAGAAACGACUUUGAUCUAUCCUAGGAGGAAGUCCGGGCUAAGUUCGUGCCAGCAGCCGCGGUAACACGAACCGGACAAACGUUAUUCGGAAUUACUGGGCUUAAAGGGUGCGUAGGCGGUGCGGUAAGUGCGGUGUGAAAUCCCACGGCUCAACCGUGGAAUUGCGCUGCAUACUGCCGUGCUAGAGGGAGACAGGGGUAAGCGGAACUGAUGGUGGAGCGGUGAAAUGCGUUGAUAUCAUCAGGAACACCGGUGGCGAAAGCGGCUUACUGGGUCUCUUCUGACGCUGAGGCACGAAAGCUAGGGUAGCGAACGGGAUUAGAUACCCAGGUAGUCCCUGAGCGGGCUGGCAAGGCGCAU
rnacentral:rRNA from 1 species